rnacentral:tRNA from 1 species
GCCAUUGUGGUGUAACGGUAGAACACUCGGGGCAUAUCUGAGAGUUCCAGGUUCGAAUCCCGGCAAGGGCA